GUUAAAAACCCACUGAAAGGAUUAUGUUUUGAAAACAUAAUGAAGAGGUUAAAACCCUCUAUUUAACU
rnacentral:tRNA from 1 species